rnacentral:rRNA from 1 species
CCAAGGAGUCUAACAUGUGCGCGAGUCACCGGGUCUUGCCCAGGCUCGGAGGCGGAAUGAAAGUGAAGGCCGAUCUGGGCGUCGGCUGCGGUGUGAUCCGCGGGGCACCUUCCUGUCGUGUCUAUGUAGUCCGGCGGGUAGGCCGCCGGCGGCGCAACACCGGCCCGUCCCGUCCGCCACGUCGGUGGGGCGGAGCGAGAGCGUACACGUUGGGACCCGAAAGAUGGUGAACUAUGCCUGGGCAGGACGAAGCCAGAGGAAACUCUGGUGGAGGUCCGCAGCGAUUCUGACGUGCAAAUCGAUCGUCAGACCUGGGUAUAGGGGCGAAAGACUAAUCGAACCAUCUA